UACGGAGGGUCCGAGCGUUGUCCGGAAUUACUGGGCGUAAAGAGCUCGUAGGUGGUUUGUCGCGUUGUUCGUGAAAACUCACAGCUUAACUGUGGGCGUGCGGGCGAUACGGGCAGACUGGAGUACUGCAGGGGAGACUGGAAUUCCUGGUGUAGCGGUGGAAUGCGCAGAUAUCAGGAGGAACACCGGUGGCGAAGGCGGGUCUCUGGGCAGUAACUGACGCUGAGGAGCGAAAGCGUGGGGAGCGAACAGG
rnacentral:rRNA from 1 species